rnacentral:rRNA from 1 species
GCUUACGGCCACACCACCCUGAGCGCGCCCGAUCUCGUCUGAUCUCGGAAGCUAAGCAGGGUCGGGCCUGGUUAGUACUUGGAUGGGAGACCGCCUGGGAAUACCAGGUGCCGUAAAGCU